GUGCUUACUUUGGCAGCACAUACACUAAAAUUGGAACAAUACAGAGAAGAUCAGCAAGGUCCCUGUGUAAGGAUGACAUGCAAAUUUGUGAAGUGUUCCACAUUUUU
rnacentral:snRNA from 1 species